UGAAAUUUUAUAUCAUAUCGUGUCUAUUCUUAUCCGCCAGCAGGUACAGGUGUUGGCGGUGGAUGCACCGGCCUUGUAGGUCGUGGUGGACGUCUUUGGGCUAGACCAUAGGACUGGCCAAUGACCAUGAGGCCAACAAUGAUGACAACUAAG
rnacentral:sRNA from 1 species